GGAUGCGAUCAUACCAGCACUAAAGCACCGGAUCCCAUCAGAACUCCGAAGUGAAGCGUGCUUGGGCGAGAGUAGUACUAGGAUGGGUGACCUCUUGGGAAGUCCUCGUGUUGCAUUCC
rnacentral:rRNA from 1 species